rnacentral:rRNA from 1 species
UACAGAGGGUGCGAGCGUUAAUCGGAAUUACUGGGCGUAAAGCGCACGUAGUCGGCUUUGCAAGUCGGGGGUGAAAUCCCGAGGCUCAACCUCGGAACUGCCUUCGAUACUGGCGAUCUUGAGUCCGGGAGAGGUGAGUGGAACUCCGAGUGUAGAGGUGAAAUUCGUAGAUAUUCGGAAGAACACCAGUGGCGAAGGCGGCUCACUGGCCCGGUACUGACGCUGAGAUACGAAAGCGUGGGGAGCAAACAGG